GACAGAGGUGCCAAGCGUUAGGCGGAAUCACUGGGCUUAAAGCGUGUGUAGGCGGACUUGUAAGUACCUUGUGAAAUCCCACGGCUCAACCGUGGAACUGCUCGGUAUACUGCUUGUCUUGAGCCACUUAGGGGCUGUCGGAACAAACGGUGGAGCGGUGAAAUGCGUAGAUAUCGGGAGGAACACCGGUGGCGAAGGCGGUUCUCUGGGCCUGUACUGACGCUGAGGAGCGAAAGUGUGGGGAGCGAACAGG
rnacentral:rRNA from 1 species